AUUGAACGCUGGCGGCAGGCCUAACACAUGCAAGUCGAGCGAGCGGCGGACGGGUGAGUAAUGUCUGGGAAUCUGCCUGAUGGAGGGGGAUAACUACUGGAAACGGUCGCUAAUACCGCAUACCAUCAGAUGUACCCAUAUGGGAUUAGCUAGUAGGUGGGGUAAAGGCUCACCUAGGCGACGAUCCCUAGCUGGUCUGAGAGGAUGACCAGCCACACUGGAACUGAGACACGGCCCAGACUCCUACGGGAGGCAGCAGUGGGGAAUAUUGCACAAUGGGCGCAAGCCUGAUGCAGCCAUGCCGCGUGUAUGAAGAAGGCCUUAGGGUUGUAAAGCACUUUCAGCGGGGAGGCGUUACCAGCAGAAGAAGCACCGGCUAACUCCGUGCCAGCAGACGCGGUAAUUC
rnacentral:rRNA from 1 species